CAGCACGGGGCUCGUUGUAUUGGCGGUGCUAGUACUUACGAGAGGUGCGGAGAACGCUACAGAAAAUGCUGGAACAACUAGGCCAAGUGGUGCGCUAGCGAGUCUUGGUCGAGUGUUUGUAGACAUUCCUUUGGGGAUCGUUGAAGCUUUUAAGGAUGGAGCGGAGGCGAUCGAGAGCGUGGUGAUUGCGAUAGUCCGCGGUGUUUUUGGCUAAAUUACAGUCUCGGAAUACAAAUUCGUUCAUUGACCCAUAACUAAUUAUUGUCUCUUUCACUCACGCAUAAUUACUCUUACGAAGUACCGAUAAUAGUGAAGAUAGAAAUUUAGUAACAAAAAAAAUCCACAGCCGAAGAUUGGACCUCCUCCUAUUUGGAAGUCGGAUAUAAAUUAUUUCUAGUAUCAAUAUAAAAAGCAGUUAUAACAUCCUAUUUCUAACCACGUCGUCGUUGCCUCUAGGUUGGUGGAAAAUAUUUGAUGUCAAUUGUUUGACCGACGUCGUCAUAAUAGUUGUACUGGAAAUGCAUAAUAUUGGGCGCAGCACUUGAGAAAUGUACAUG